UACGUAGGGGGCAAGCGUUGUCCGGAAUCAUUGGGCGUAAAGCGCGUGUAGGCGGCUCGGUAAGUCCGCUCUGAAAGUCCGGGGCUCAACCCCGGGAGGCGGGUGGAUACUGUCGAGCUAGAGUCCGGAAGAGGCGAGUGGAAUUCCUGGUGUAGCGGUGAAAUGUGUAGAGAUCGGGAGGAACACCGGUGGCGAAGGCGGGUCUCUGGGCAAUUCCUGACGCUGAGGCGCGAAAGCGUGGGGAGCAAACGGG
rnacentral:rRNA from 1 species